rnacentral:rRNA from 1 species
AUUGAACGCUGGCGGAAUGCUUUACACAUGCAAGUCGAACGGCUGCACGGACUUCGGUCUGGUGGCGAGUGGCGAACGGGUGAGUAAUGUAUCGGAACGUGCCCAGUCGUGGGGGAUAACGUAGUGAAAAUUACGCUAAUACCGCAUACGAUCUAUGGAUGAAAGCGGGGGAUCGCAAGACCUCGCGCGCUUGGAGCGGCCGAUAUCAGAUUAGGUAGUUGGUGGGGUAAAGGCCCACCAAGCCAACGAUCUGUAGCUGGUCUGAGAGGACGACCAGGCACACUGGAACUGAGACACGGUCCAGACUCCUACGGGAGGCAGCAGUGGGGAACUUUGGACAAUGGGCGAAAGCCUGAUCCAGCCAUUCCGCGUGCAGGAUGAAGGCCCUCGGGUUGUAAACUGCUUUUGUACAGAACGAAAAGGUUUCUACUAAUACUAGGAGCUCAUGACGGUACUGUAAGAAUAAGCACCGGCUAACUACGUGCCAGCCGCCGCCGUAA